rnacentral:rRNA from 1 species
GUGGGGAAUCUUGCGCAAUGGGCGAAAGCCUGACGCAGCCAUGCCGCGUGAAUGAUGAAGGUCUUAGGAUUGUAAAAUUCUUUCACCGGGGACGAUAAUGACGGUACCCGGAGAAGAAGCUCCGGCUAACUUCGUGCCAGCAGCCGCGGUAAUACGAAGGGGGCUAGCGUUGCUCGGAAUUACUGGGCGUAAAGGGCGCGUAGGCGGACAGCUUAGUCAGAGGUGAAAGCCCAGGGCUCAACCUUGGAAUUGCCUUUGAUACUGGCUGUCUUGAGUUUGGGAGAGGUGAGUGGAACUCCGAGUGUAGAGGUGAAAUUCGUAGAUAUUCGGAAGAACACCAGUGGCGAAGGCGACUACCUGGACUGAUACUGACACUGAGGUGCGAAAGCGUGGGGAGCAAACAGGAUUAGAUACCCCGGUAGUCC